AAUGAACGUUGGCGGCAUGGAUUAGGCAUGCAAGUCGGGGGAAUCCCAGCAAUGGGGGAACCGGCGUAAGGGGCAGUAAGGCAUGGGUACCUACCUGGGGGUUCGGGAUAGCCAUCAGAGAUGGUGGGUAAUACCGGCUGACGUCGUGAGACCAACGAUUUAUCGACCUUAGAGGGGCCCAUGUGCUAUUAGCGAGUUGGUGGGGUAACGGCCCACCAAGGCGAAGAUGUCUAGCGGGUGUGAGAGCACGACCCGCGCCACUGGCACUGAGACACUGGCGAGACACCUACGGGUGGCUGCAGUCGAGGAUCUUCGGCAAUGAGCGCAAGCUUGACCGAGCGAUGCCGCGUGAGCGAUGAAGGCCUUCGGGUUGUAAAGCUCUUUAGUGGGGGAGAAAAGCCGCAAGGUGUGAUCUAUCCCAAAAAUAAGCACGGGCUAAGUUCGUGCCAGCCGCCGCCGUAA
rnacentral:rRNA from 1 species